rnacentral:rRNA from 1 species
UUUUAAGCGAUGGGGGGACGCAGUAGGAUAGGCGAAGCGUACUAUUGGAUUGUACGUCCAAGCAAUGAGACUGAGUGUUAGGCAAAUCCGGCACUCUUAAGGUCAAGUUGUGAUGGGGAGAGGAAAUUGUUUCCUCGAGUCGUUGAUUUCACACUGCCAAGAAAAGCCUCUAGCUAGAAUUUUGGUGCCCGUACCGCAAACCGACACAGGUAGUCAAGAUGAGAAUUCUAAGGUGAGCGAGCGAACUCUCGUUAAGGAACUCGGCAAAAUGACCCCGUAACUUCGGGAGAAGGGGUGCUCUUUAGGGUUAACGCCCAGGAGAGCCGCAGUGAAUAGGCCCAAGCGACUGUUUAUCAAAAACACAGGUCUCUGCUAAACCGUAAGGUGAUGUAUAGGGGCUGACGCCUGCCCGGUGCUGGAAGGUUAAGAGGAGUGCUUAGCGCAAGCGAAGGUACGAAUUGAAGCCCCAGUAAACGGCGGCCGUAACUAUAACGGUCCUAAGGUAGCGAAAUUCCUUGUCGGGUAAGUUCCGACCCGCACGAAAGGCGUAACGAUUUGGGCACUGUCUCAACGAGAGACUCGGUGAAAUCAUAGUACCUGUGAAGAUGCAGGUUACCCGCGACAGGACGGAAAGACCCCGUGGAGCUUUACUGUAGUCUGAUAUUGAAAUUCGGUACAACUUGUACAGGAUAGGUAGGAGCCUUUGAAACGUGAGCGCCAGCUUACGUCGAGGCGUUGGUGGGAUACUACCCUUGCUGUGUUGGAUUUCUAACCCGCACCAUUUAUCAUGGUGGGAGACAGUGUCAGAUGGACAGUUUGACUGGGGCGGUCGCCUCCUAAAGAGUAACGGAGGCGCUCAAAGGUUCUCUCAGUACGGUCGGAAAUCGUACGUAGAGUGUAAAGGCAGAAGAGAGCUUGACCUCAGAAUGGUUGGAAAUCAUUCGUAGAGUGCAAAGGCAUAAGGGAGCUUGACUGCGAGACUUACAAGUCGAGCAGGGACGAAAGUCGGGCUUAGUGAUCCGGUGGUUCCGCAUGGAAGGGCCAUCGCUCAACGGAUAAAAGCUACCCCGGGGAUAACAGGCUUAUCUCCCCCAAGAGUUCACAUCGACGGGGAGGUUUGGCACCUCGAUGUCGGCUCAUCGCAUCCUGGGGCUGUAGUCGGUCCCAAGGGUUGGGCUGUUCGCCCAUUAAAGCGGUACGCGAGCUGGGUUCAGAACGUCGUGAGACAGUUCGGUCCCUAUCCGUCGUGGGCGCAGGAAAUUUGAGAGGAGCUGUCCUUAGUACGAGAGGACCGGGAUGGACAUACCUCUGGUGUACCAGUUGUCGUGCCAACGGCAUCGCUGGGUAGCUAUGUAUGGACGGGAUAAGUGCUGAAAGCAUCUAAGCAUGAAGCCCCCCUCAAGAUGAGAUUUCCCAACUUCGGUUAUAAGAUCCCUCAAAGAUGAUGAGGUUAAUAGGUUCGAGGUGGAAGCAUAGCG